GGGCCUGGGACAGCUCAGUUGGUAGAGCAUGAGACUCUUAAACUCAGGGUUGUGCGUUCGAGACCCACAUCGGGGUCCU